rnacentral:lncRNA from 14 species
AUGCAGGCACAACGUGCUGAACCUGACUGCUGUGGUGGCGAGCAGGUGGACUGGGAGCUGUGCUGGACGAGGGGUAAGGCAAAGGGACAAGGAAUGAGGUCAGGGGCCCUCCUCUCAAAUCCAGAGUUGAAUCUUAUCCCUGAAGGAAGGAGCAGGGAAGGAGGCUCACAGCUGCUCACGGACUUACCUGACCAUGGCCUGCGGCAGGAGCUGACCCUUCCACACUACACUGAUGAAAGCUGCUCCCGUGAUGACUCAGGCAUCAGAACAGAAGGGGGCUUCUCCCUUUUCCUUUGGGAAGCUGCUCUCAGGAGCCAAGGCCCACAUUGCUGCUCUGGUAGCCUCUGCUGGGGCUGAUGGUUCCUCUCCUGUGCUGUGGGUUGGGAGUCUGGGGAUGGAAAGCCCCAGGUGAAGCCAGUGGGAAUGAUGGCCUCUCUACAUCCAAUGUAGUACAGCUGAGCAGGGGGUGUGCAGCUUCGGGGGCUGUGCAAGGGCCUAUCUGGGACAAUGAAGGUGCUGCCGAGCACUGCCUGCUGGGACCAGAACUGACCACAACUGCAGAGAAGGUGAACUGGGACGAGGGGUCCCUACAACGGAAAUGUCCUGGGAGUGUGACAUCAGUGGUGGAGGCCAUGGAUGGCGGAGCAGUGCUGGGUGAAAGCUGAUCUGGAGCCGUGGAAGGGGAAUGGAUGCACUGGAGAGGUGUUCUGUGGCUCACCUGGAGCAGCCCUGGUUCAGCCCCUGCUCUACCCCAGGCACCCCUUCCCUGCAGUUCACUGGCACUGCCCUGCACCUCCAGCAUGGUUCCUGAGCUGCCCCAGGGCUCUGCCCUCUGUCCCUCUCCUAGCAUGAGUAAUUAGUAGUAACAAUUGACAUCUAGUAGGUAAAACAUAAAUGUAUCAUACUGGGAGUAAUGGGAGCUCAUUAGGAAUCUAGCAAUUCUAAGACCUGUAGCACGCAUCAAAAAAAGCACAGCCUUUGUUACACCAAUCAAGUGCAAAAUGGUUUAAAAUUCUUGUGUAUCUGUAAGAAUAAUAUUUUUUAUAAUUGUAUUUUCUUUGUAUUUAAUUCCCGUUUAAAGUAAUGAUAAUUUUAAACAAUAACAAGGGGUGCCAAAUAAUAGGAAAGUACUUCAGACGAAAAUGAUUAGAAGUACAGGUUUCAAUUGAAAGUUUUUAGUACUUUACAAUGUAAAUUUUCAGAAACACAAAGUAGAUUACUAAAACGAGUUAGCAUAUAUUAGAUUACCUGACAAAUCUUCCCAAUCCUCAUGUCAUUAUGUUUGAGGAUCUUCACAACAUCCAACAGUGCUUAAGGUUUCAAAGGCAUAUGAAAGGCAUUGAUGUGAAAAGACUGAGAAUGAAAAAAUGAAUCAAUAAAUGUGUUGAGCAAAUGUUUAGCCUUUAAGUU